rnacentral:rRNA from 1 species
UACGAAGGGGGCUAGCGUUAUUCGGAAUCACUGGGCUUAAAGCGCGUGUAGGCGGCCCGGCACGUCGGACGCUGAAAUCCCCCGGCUCAACCGGGGAACGGGCGCCGAUACGACCGGGCUGGAGGGGGGUAGGGGGCGCCGGAACUUCCGGUGGAGCGGUGAAAUGCGUUGAGAUCGGAAGGAACGCCCGUGGCGAAAGCGGGCGCCUGGACCCCACCUGACGCUGAGACGCGAAAGCCAGGGGAGCGAAUGGG